CCAAUUCAUGGCCUCUAGCCAGGUCUAAACCAUCCAAGAGACUAACAACUUCUAAUAGACUCACUCCAGCUCUCCCCUUACACUUUUUCUUUCUCUCUGAAAGAGAAGUGGCGUACAAGGACUUCACACAAGUCCACCAUAGACUAGAGACAAGACAAAAGCAAUGGAGAUCCAUGCUUUAGCAUCAUAUACAAAACAAAAAAAAUGCUAACAAACACAGGCACAUAUCAGAAGAACGAAACAUUUUAUCAGGAAAACUAACAAACUGAUCAUAUCUCAGAAAAAAAAAAAUCCAUUGUAGUUAAUCCCCAUUUUCUCAACUAAAGAAGAUACCAGGCUCUCUUAUCAACCCCACAUUUACAUAUCAGACAAAAUUAACCACAAAAGACCAAAGUUAACAACUGGAGGGCAAGAUAAGAGUCUAAAACAAGAACAAAAUAUUCAUUGAAACUAAACCAAAUCAAUCAACCCAGAGAGAAGCCAACAAGAAUUCCCUCUCGAAAAAAAAAAAACAAGAGAGAGAGAGAGAGAAGAACUAACCAUCUCCAUCCUUGUCAAAGAGGCUAAAGGCUUCCUGGAACUCAGAGAUCUGCUCCUUUGUCGGGCGAUCCAUAGCAAUAUAAUCUAUAGCCAAAAGAGAGCUAACGAAGAAUACCUUGUAGGGGGGAAGGCGAUGCAAGAAAACCGAAUACCAGCGCUGGGCUUUUGUAGGCACGAGGGAGGAGUUAGAAGUAUUCUGGACGGCUGACUUUUUUUUUCAAAUUACUCCUGGUCAAAAGUCCUUUUCAAAGAAUCCAAAAGGAAAUUACAAAGAAUAUAAAUAUUAGAUUUUCUUAUCCAAUAAUUUAUCUAUGUUUUAUUUCGAUCCUUUGUCUGCUGCUUUCCACCCUAAAGGGCGAAUUUGUUGGCCCAAACGGGUGCAUUUGUUUCCAGCCCCGCAACCCGGUCGGUCUGACCGUGAGUCUGUGACCUGAUGUCCCUUUUCUUAUUUUAUUUUUUUAUUUCCUUUUUGUUUUCUUCUAGGCUUUAAUUUAUUUUCUCAGUGAUUGCCCUGUGAUUUUCCAACUGUGGACAGCUGGUGUUGGAUUUUGGGAGGACAGAGGAAAAGGCAACUUGGUUCUCGAGUCAAAAACAAAGCCCUAAAUAUUUCUUUUACCACGGAAACAACAAUUUAAUUACAAAAAGUUUAGUUUGUUUGAACCGGUAUAAUAGUCAUGAGUCCCUUGAACUCUUAUAGAUUGGUGCCUUAAUUACCGUAGCUUCUCGCCAAAUUAUUGCCAGUGUGAAUAAUCUCUAUCAUGCUUAUUGGGCUAUGCAUGAGACUUGUCGGACCACAAGGCGGCAUGAAUAGAGAAUUUGUUUUCUAAAAAUUUGUUCGAGUGAUCUUCACCGAGUGAAGACUCGAAAACUCCAUCUUUGGAGUUGUAUGGGUUCAUGGUAUCUAAUAAUCACCAUCAUGCCAACCACAACCAUGAAUGAAGAACCGAUCCUUUCAUGCAAGUCCAAGAUCCAUAUUCCAGCAAAAUAUGCAUCCCAUUGGAUUCAUACCUAAAUCCGAAAGAAUUGGUUGGUUCUUCAAUCAUAGCUUUUCUGUGAUUGACACGAUAACCGUGAUUGAUAUUAAGUUGAUAUGAACUAAAUAGGAUUUUUUAUCGAGUUUAGAUGCUUCUAGUUUGUACCUGAAUUCGCCAGGGCCAUUUAUUUCAUCACAAUCGUCUGCAUCCUCUCUAAUUCAGGUGCAAAUUGAAAAGGAUUCAAACUCCUAACUUAGUAAUAUUGUUACUCCUAACCUUGUUAUUGGUAUGAAAUUGAUAAAAAAUGCAUGAGAUCAUCUAUCUUAUACCAAUACAAUUUACCGGUUGGUUGGUAAUUGGCUUUGUGGCAUCCAAGCCUGGACUAAGACCACCUACCCCAUGUAUGCACACUAAAAUUGAACAGUGAAUAGAUAGGUGAUUUGGUAGUAAUAUCAAAUUGACAAUUGUUCUCCUAUCUUUUGCCAACGCCCUCCUACAAAAGCAAAACUAAAUCAAAUAAAUUUACUUGGAAGAAAAAAUCUUUUGACCAUGAUCAGCAUUGCUGAAUGGCAAACCACCUGCGACUCUAGAAAGAUCUCCAUUACGACAACCCGGGGACUAUAGUGAGAGAAAAGUGCAUUAGGAGAGUAAAUUGGGAAUUAGCCAUAUAUGCACUCCAAUGACUUUGAAAAUUCAUUUCCUUCCAUUCAACGAAUGGGACAAAGAUGAUAUAUAGCUGCUAAAAGAGUCAUUCUUCCAAUUGCCGCUUAGAUCACUAAUCUCAUGUACUAGUAUUUGAUUACCAUCAUAUAACAUACCUAUGCACCGUGGUCCCAUGGAGCACAUCUAUCCUUGAUUGCUACAUUCGAUCGGCGACGAUCUAAGCAACGACUGAAGGGACGACCUACACCAAUUCUUAUCAGGACUCUAAAAUCUUGACCAGUUCUAUUUGAAUUAUUCAAACAUGAUGAACGAGUUUGAUACAGGGGAUCAAAAAGUGCUCCCCUGGCUGCUUAUCGAAAUCCUUGUUUUAUUCUUCCACUGACCUGCUUUAUUGCAGUGCUAAUCUAAAUUUAGCAUAGCAUGCUCUCUUGGUUCAAUUUUAGUCCAUUUCAUGGACUCAAAGAUCAGACGGUCAUGCAGGACAACAAUCAAUGAGAUCCAUAGGAGACCCGUUCCUUGGAUGGUGGACCCAACACGGCAUGGUGGUGUACUAAAUCGCUCACGGGUCCACGUGUCUGACCAAUUCGGGAAGUUUGAUCCGGUCGUCCACGGUCUCUGAUGAGGCGCGUGGCGUGAGGGUGGAUGCGAGACACGGUGGACCGAUCCAUCAUCAUCAUGAUGGGAUCGGGUAUGGGGCCCUGAUCCCUCUAUAGCCGGACGUAAGGGCUACUACCGUACUAUCUCGAGCGAGAAAAUGAGACGGGAAAAUAACUCGGUAUAUCGCACGGAUCUAAAAGGUCGAACGGUGCGAGGCACGUGCGGAGGCCAGCUGGCAUGCGCUGGGCGGGCUGACUCGCUGCGGGCUCUGCGCAGACACGGACAGCCGGCUCUCACGUGAUGCGGCACGCGGUUUCUCUCGCGUCAGUGGUUGACUUUUCGGCCACGUGCGCUUGCACGCGUUAAACCAUGGGUGCAACUCGGGCUUGUUGAAGAACGAUAGCUUGCUUUGACGGAGCAGAAGCACCACCACGUUUAGGUUGAAUGCUUGUACUCCAUCAAAUCUAUCCCAACCGCUCAAAUUAUUCUUUACAACCAGGGGCGGCUCAAUACAUUCCGGGGCCUAAGGCGAAUCCAAUGAACGAUGCCUUUUUUUUAAUAAUAAUUUUUUUAAUAAAUAUAAAAUACUUAAAAAUAUAUAUGAAAAUAGAUAGCUAUCAAGUACACUAUUUCAACAAAGAGACAUGAAUCUAACAAAGAUAGACAAGAAGCCUUUUCAAUUUAAUAUAAUUCUUGAAUGGAAGCACAUAAAAGUAAUUACUCUAAAUGAAGGGCCAUGAAACUGAUUAAAUAACUGAGAUAAUGCUUGGCAAUGCUGUUUACCAUGUCAAGCAAGAGCCGAAUAGGAAAAGGUCAUCCCAUGGCACUUCAUGGUCAAGGUCAAGAAAAGAAUUUGUCCAUAAAGGAACCUCUCUAUAAGAGAAAGUAGGGUCAUUACGGAAAAUUCACUCCAUCUAAUUAAUAAAAGUCCCGUCCCACCAUCUCCCCUUCAAGUGAGUACCCAAGCAGCAACUGCAACAUCACAGCACGGCAGCCAUUCAACCCCCUCCCUCCGUUUCUCUCUCUACCACCCAAGAGGGGAGAAGAAACUGAGAGGAGAAAACUAAAAGAAUCUCCACCCUCCAAGAAGUCCAUCUCCAAUCCCCCUAUCUUUCUUCCGGAUGGCCCAGGUGGAUCAGGAGUAAUGUGAGGGAAGGAAAACCAAGACCAAAACCAAAAAAGAGAAGGGAUGAAAGAUAAGAGUGGCUUCAGGCGUCUAUCAAGCCAACCAAAUCCCUCCUCUCUCUCUCCCUCUCCCCACCCAAAACAAAACUACUGUCCCCAACAUCCCAAAUUGCCCCUCUGCAGGCCUGGAAACUCUCCACCUCCCUUCCAUCAUGGGGAAGACUCAUAGCCAGCUCCUGAUCUCGUUUUAUAUCGGGCCUUUGCUUCCUUUUGGUCAACCUCCCGGGGGCCUUCCAUUGGUCCGGGGCCUUAGGCGACCGCCUCGGUCGCCUAGGGCUCGGGCCGGCCUUGUUUACAACACCCCCCCCUUCCCAAAAAAAAAGAGCCUCAUUAGUCCUUAAUCAUAUUCUUACAUUCCAAAUCGAGUUUGGCAUAAAUCUCGUGUACGACUGGGCUAAGCCUAAAUGUUAUUGAAUCCUUCAAUAUCAUCAUUUUAUCUAUAUCCGAAAAUAAUGAGCUGAAGCUGGCAUCCCUAGCCGACUUCAACCAAAGGCUCCUUUUGAAGAAGCUAGAACAGAGGAUCAUGAUCGCAAUCCUCUCUGGCUUGUUCAGGCCCGACGGGAGAGGAGGCGUUUCGUGGCAGCCCCGCAGCCACUGAUCAUGUUCAACCGCUGCGAAAAUCACAGCAGUGAGCUGUUUGAAAGUUUUUUAUAAAGCCCCUCUUUCCCUACGUUGGACCACCACCGAGCCUCUCCUCCCUCCUUCUUGUUCUUCUCCAGUGGCCAGCGUGCCACCCCGGCAGAGCGACUCCCCAAAGCUCCAUUUUCUCUUUCUUUUCUGUCCGAGUGCCCUACUUUCUUCGAGCCCUCCCGGUUUCAAGCGCCGCCGCAACCAGCCCGCCAGCUGAGUUAUCCUCGGCCGAGAUUCUUCUUCUUCUCCGGUGGCUGGCCUGCUAUCCGGUUGAGCACCACCGCCCGAAGCCUCCUCCUCUCUCUAAUCUUCUGCUUGCUCUGUUCCGCGAUUCUUUUCUUCAUCAGAAGCCGCCGCCAUCAUCACCGCAAGAUCCACCGCUUUGGGCAUGUUCAUUUGUUUGGGCCUGUUCAUCCCUUUUCGGCUAAGAGAGAAAAAAUGGUCCCUAACUCUCUUCAAUUGGGCAAGCCUAGAUUUUCCCUAAUGGUUGACUGAACCACUCAGGUUGGGCCCAAGAUCAAGAUUAGACCAAAUCUAGACUCGAGCUAAGAUUCUCUCUCCUCUCCUUUUUUCUUCUCUCUAGACAUGCUUGGGGAUUCUAGUGUAAGCCUUGUUCUUCUUGUUGCUUGGAUCUAAGUUGAUCCAGUUUAAAGACCCUGAACCUCUCCUGUAUCCAGACAGUUGACCGGCCCUUACUUCAGCUCCAGCUAGAUUUGACCACUUUUGAUUUUUAUCUGAUCCAUUGAAUCCUCCUGGCUUGGACUGACCUGAAUAGUCAGGCACUGUCACCCGACUAACUUGAUUUGGGGGCAUGAGACAGUAGUAUUUAAUUUUGACUUCUGGAAUGGUAUUAAAAUUAAUAAUAUUUUAAAGUGAAAAGAAGUAACCUAAUACUUCAAAGUGUGUUUUCCAAGUUAUUUGGUAAAAUAAUUAUCAGUUGAUUAAAUUUUAAUAUUUAUUUUGUACUUAGUUAAACGGGUUAGAUAUGUUAAUAAUUAUUUUGAAAAUUAUGUUAUAUGCUAUGAAAUCUGUAAAAUGUGACUGGGCAAAUUAUAAAAAAUCUAUUUUGUAUGUACGUAUUCUCAGUAUGGCUAUAAUCUAGCCCUGCCAGUAGAGAUUAUUCGUUGGCCUUGUCGACUUGUAAUCUGUAAGAAACUAGUUUCAACACCGCACCAUCGUUAAUUAGAAUAGUGGUAUUUGGAUACCGUACCACCAGUGAUUAAUAAUAAUGGUGUUUAGCACUUUGUGCGACCCAUGUCACUAGGUUACGUGGCCAUAGUCUAUUAAUAUUGAAAUUCUGGUAUCAGAGUCUUUAUGAAAAUAAUAAUAAAUUUCAAAAAAAUAUAUUUAUUUGUGAUUUAUUUCUAGUCAUUAUUUUGUGUUAUAAUUAAAUAUUUGGCAUGUUUUGAUCCCACUCUAGGAUAUUAUGUUGUUUACUGGGCUAGUGUAGCUUAUUAUCAUAUUUUUUUCGUUUUUUAGAUCCAAGGGCAUGAUUACACAGGACUGGGAAGUGCGCUAUAUUCCGAAGAUUUUUUUUCUUCAGUUAUUGAGAGUUAGAGUAAGAUUAUUUGAUUUAUAUUAGGACAUGUUACUUUGAAACUUUUAUAAGAACCAUUCAAAUAAAUUAUGAUUAAAUAAAUUUUUAGGAUUUAUUUCAAUAUGAUCUAUAGCCUUGUAUGCCUGUAUGUUCCGCCGUACAGACACGUGGCAUCUGUCACGUUCCGAGCUCGAGGUGUGACACUGUACCUACUUCUCACAUGUGUAUCUCAAGAAGAGCUUUGCUUAAUUACAAGGGUACGCCCUAAUAAAAUCAUUUCUAUCUUAACCAACCAUCCCUCUUUGCCCUCAGGACUGCUUACCAAGUGGCCUUCCAAGGGGCCCCUAUCUUAACAAUAUCCCUGACUAAUGUAUCCACCUUCAUAAAUUUCUUCAUUUUUUUUUCCAACUCGUGGUUUUGAGUAAAAUUUCUUUGUUAAACGUCCAUCUGGCAUCUAUUGAAUCUUUUAAUUUUUUUAUAUAAAGAGGAAACUAUAUUACUUUAUAAUAAAAAGUACAAUCAAAUUAUUAGAAAUGAUAAGAGGCAUUCAAUCCAGAGGGCCAUCACUGCUAAAUACAUUUCCACUAGUGCCCCUUCUGGCCAACUACUAUGAGAUAUAUGCACUAAAUAAAUGCAUAUUUUCAUCCAAGGGCAAGAGCAUAAUAGUUCAAAUACCAUUGCCUUGUUUACAGGGGNNNNNNNNNNNNNNNNNNNNNNNNNNNNNNNNNNNNNNNNNNNNNNNNNNNNNNNNNNNNNNNNNNNNNNNNNNNUCGGACUGCGACAACUGCGAGAGCCUAUUAUUCACCGAGGCCAACGGAAAGCUCCAGAUCGAAUUAAAUCCCCACGACCGCUCGGAGGAAAUGUAGAAAAAGUUAUCCUUCCAUCCAUAGAUGAAAGUGGGUAGGCCCCCAAAUAGCUUGCGACCUCCUCGAGGGAAGAAGUACCACCACCCUUUAUCUACAUGGUUGCCUUUAAAUAUAAAACAGCUCCUGAAGACGUUCACUAGGGGGGAGGCUGUGCGCCAGGUAGAGGGCAAGGAAGCUGAUGAUUAAUCUCUAUUAGUUCGGGGCGAGCUACGCGGGCACUAGGCCAUACACCGUCAGAAGUUCGCCCACGAACCUAUGAAGAGGAAACCUCAGCCCUGCCUGUAGUAUAUCUACAUACACUCCGACCCAACUAUUUGGGGGAUUGGUAACUCGGCCCCCGAGGUCUGGGAGUUCAAGGACGAACUCCGGAGGAAUGAAAAAUCGGGCUCGAACCGAGCCCUGAUCCUCAUCGGUCAUGAGCGAGCCGGUUCCAUACGAGCUCGGGCCCAUCUCAAUUUCGACCUCUUCCACCUCAGAAGAGGCCGAAAUUCGCGAUGGACCUGCAUCGAACAUCGAUGCCCUCGUCGGCGAGUCCAUUGCCUUAGUUUUGAAACUAAAAAGGAGGAGGAAAUUGAAAAACUCUCCGAGCGACCGAAAGAAAGGAUAAAAUGCCUACUCGAAAACUCACCGGAAAAGAUGGAUGAGCAAAGAAGGAGAAUGACCCCCGGAAAGGAAAAAUAAUGGAUGACGCAAAGGCUAGCCGAGAACUCCCAAGAACACCUGGAAGAGAAUUCCAGCACUCCGGCGGCGGCGACGGCGGCUAGACCAGGGCAGGAGGAAGGCCGAGUAACGAUCCUACAACCCCUUGCAGCGGCCCCGAUCUGGCGACCUAAAUAAUCGUAGGUCUGCAAUCCACCAUGUGGCGAGCCCUAAGACGGCCUCAACAAAUUUCUCCGAAAUGCCUCACUAAAUGCGGAUCAUUAUGAAAGGCGCUCCGGAGCUCGAAAUAUUGAUCAUUGACCUUCCGCCUUUUACCGGAUGAGAUGCAUCGGAGAAGGGAGCAUUAAUGGCCGACUCUUCAUGCUCCGCUAAAAGGAAUGCUUCGCGGGACGGGGAAUUAAUAAUUGAAACCCUCCUCGUCCCAAUUCAACCACUUUCCGGAAAGAGACACCUAUGUGAAACCCCGAAAAACUCCUACAGUGAAUUCUAUUUCCGAAAAAUCUAGCAGCUCGGACACCCCGAAUCUGUUGCCGAGCUCUCAACCAAGAAGUGUGCCGAAGCCUACAUAGUCUAGUGCGCGUCUCUUCUUGUUUAUGAAAUUAAAGUACUGGAUGAUCGGGAGUCCGACUACUUCCAUCGUUCGAGCAGCAAGGCAGCUCGACUUCAAAAGUGGGGGGCAAAUGAUAGAGGAAAGAACGGAUCGUUUAGCCCACAACUAAAAGGCCGCCCAAUAAAUACCAACGAUGAAUGACUAAAUCUUCACUUCGGCCAGAGCCAGCUCGUCUUUGGAACUCCACCAACUCCGGACAUUUGCCGACUCCCCCGACCAAGUUCGGGGUACCUCCAAGCAAACGCCGACCCGUCCCAACCAAGUUCGAGAUGCCGACCCCAGCAAUACACAACAUACGCUCCGACCCUCGAGCUCGGAGCGCUCUCUUGAGUAUACCUCGGAACCCGAAAAACUGAGCUAUUCCCGAUCUACACCAAGCCGGCCUCACUAAACGUCUGACGUAACUACUUAACGAGCUUGACCUCGUCAGCGACCGCACCCAUGUGUGAGCUUACGCCUACCUACGCGGCCGUACUCCAUCACACUGCCGCGUCAUGUCUCCAUAACCGGCCAAUAGCAAUCAAAUGGCACCUUGACUACUCCGGCCAUGCCCUGCUGUGACUGUCAACGCCCUAUUGUUCUUAAAAACGGGCUGUACCGCACGUCACCUACCUACUUGGGCUGCACGCCAUCCGGCUCAGAGCCAUACCCUCUCAUGAUGGGGAUGACAGUACCUCUAUCUUCCGGGCCACUCCACCGAGGCUAUAAAUAGCUUGGUCAGGUAAUUCUUAAGGGACAUUUUUUUGGCUGGACCAAAUAUGCCCACUCUAACUUGAUCGUCGGAGGGCCAUCACCGGGAAUACCGGUGAGGCUUUGUGCAGGUCCACAGCUGCCGCGCAGGAGGCGGCUCCUGUCUUCCCCUUUUCAGUAUCGACGGUUCCCUCGAUUUCAUCGGCAUGGUCACCCUUGGGCCAGAUCUGAACCACAACAACCCCUAAUAUAAUGGUUCUUCUAUUAAUAAAAAUCAUAUUUAUUUUAGUUAAAAAUAAAUUAAAAUUUUAAAAUUACUUUUUUAUAAAUAUUUCUUUUAGCGCAUCUACUCAUUAAGAAUAUCUUAGUUAUUUUAAUUUAAAAUCAUUAAUUUUUUAACAGAGUUGGAUGGUGUGGAUACAUAUACAAAAAUAAGGAUAAAAAAAUAGAAUAACAAAAUAAGUGAUUUACAAUGGUAUAUAUUAUAAAUAUUAAUUUGAAAAAAGUAUUAAUGCAAAAUUCGAUAUUUAGAAGGAUAUUCAUUAAUUUUUUUUUUUUACGAAGUCUACUGUUCUCCAAACUUAAGCAUUUUCCUCCUUGGCAGACAAUUGGAGGAAAGCCCACCCAUUCCAUAAAUAUUGGGGUCUGGUCCAGAUCAUUGUGAUGCAUCAUCCAGUAAUUGAAUCCAGGGCAAUCUCUCAAAGUUGUUCCAUUUAUUAAAGAAAACCUAGCAGCUUUCUACCAAGGAAAAAAAGAAAAGAAAACUAGCAGCUCAAAUACAGCCUAUUUAUUGAAUAGGUUAGAUCUGCAGAAUCAAACCCUAUCCAGUCUAGUUAUAGCCUCGAUAGUCCAUGAUGAAUAAGUCAGAUUGGGUUAACUCAAUGAUAAUAAGAUAAAUGGAUCUUAACUAUAUUAAUCAUAAUUCAAAAAGAUUGAUCAUGUUAAAUAAGUUUUAAAUAGGCCAAGUUGUGAUCUGGUCAAUCCAUGCCUAUAAUCAAAUAGGCCAUAAUAAGUUAGACAACUUGGGAGUACACUUAAACUCAAUCCAUCUUAUUAAUAGGUCAAUUUGAGUUGGCAUGUUUACGGUCUGAAUACCAAACUCAACCUUAUUUAUAUUUGGUCACUUAUGAGUUGGAUUGGUGGGUCGAGCUAUAUAUUGCCACCCUUACAUAUAAAUCCUUCCACUAUUGAUGCUUAGAAUGAAUCAUUAUUAAGAAUUACCCACUAAUAAAAAAGCCUUUUAAGUAGGCUAAAGUCUCAAAUAUAUUGAAGACCUGUCCCUUAUUCUCUUUCGUUAUUAUACUAUCAAUUACUCUUGAUUUCACUAUCAUCCACAAUCACAAAGUUGAAUCACCACUAUUUCUAUUUACAAAUUCAAUGCUUGUGCUAUGACUAAGGUUCAUCUCCUCGUGACUAUUAGCCCGAGCUAUCAUUAUUCCCCACGAUUUAUCCUCCUAAGAGUCUUAGAGUUAAACCGCACCAUUUUCUUGGAUCUAAUAACAAUCCUCGGCAAUUCACUACUUGCUAAAAUUGCCAUGGUCAGUACUUCCGAUAAUGAUCUCAAGGUAUCAUUAAAUCAUUUUAGUUUUGAUUGUUUUAUUAUAUGUGAAAUAGAUUAAUUAGUGGCAUUAUAUGAGUGUUUAAAUAUUUGUCACUCAAAGCUACCAAGUACUUGCUUGGAUUGUAGGUUCUUUCUGGUUGGAGUCGGCCUUUUGAGGGUGGGUUGGGAAAGAAAAGAUAAAACAAGCCUUUUCUAGUCUGAAAAGAGUUUCACUUUCAUAGAAUUAUACUUAUGUUUUUUUCCUCAAUCAAUCUAAUUAAUUUUCAUUGAUCUGAAUUAUCAUCAUUUUAGAUUAUUAAUCUCGAUACUCUUUUUGUAACAUGGUGAUGAUUUCAUAUAGAGUUUGUUUAAUUUUGAUGCGGAAAUACUGAAUAUAAGUUCUUUAAUCUUUCAAGUGGUUAGGCUGAAUUCGUUUAUGAUUUUAUGAAGUUGUUUGAUCUUUCAGGGAUCCCUAGCCGAACAUUUUCAUGUUCGUAUCAACUUGGCUCUGCAAGCUCGAUAUAUUAUGUUUCUUACUACUUCCAAGCUUCUUAGCUACACAAGCUCAAUAUAUUAUGUUUCUUGCUACUUCCAAGCUUCAUUUUUGUUGUUGGCAGUCUUUAUCAUUAUGGAAAAGGUAUCAAGUGUUUUCCUAUUUAAAAAUUAUGCAUAUCAACGUUAGGAACCAAGUGAAGGCAUCAAGACAAGAAUGCUCUUAGUAAUGACAGUCAAAUGAGGUGGCUAACGACCUCGUUGAUUUCUUCAAAGUCGUGAAGUCAUCCUAUCUAUUGCUUGUGUAGCUUCCAUCCGGUCAAGUAGUUUUGAUAUUUAAAAGACUAAGUGCAAGUUUGCACUAAUACAAGAAAUCAGGGGAUAGUGAGAAUGAUUCAUCUUUGUUUACAAUACUAGCGUUUCAAUAUAUUGCUCCCUUAUAUGCAAUUUAUGAUUCAAAUAUACUUACAAACUAUAUAACUCUGAAGUGAUUAAUUUGUUAACAUUCAUGGGCCUAAAACUAGUCAAAUUAAUGAUAAGCCUGUUGCUUUCCCUGCUACCUAGAAAGGUCAGCCGCAAGCCUUGAGCCUUUCAUUAAUCUAGACCAAGAAAGAACAUCCAACAAACGCGAUGGAGACCGCAUCCAACCCAAUCCAAGCACAUGAUACCCAUGUUAUCAUUGAUCGAAAGCGCGAUUAAUCCGACCGGUGGAUUUCAGCUGCAGUGUCCAUUUCGGUUGGUCCAAUCAAGAAUUAUUCAACAUAGUAUUUUUUUACGGUGAUUGAUUGAAUACAGAGAGUGGAUCGAUAUGAAGAGAGUCAUCUAUUGCUCCGUAAGACCCGCAGACUGGUCAAAGAAUUGGGCUUCUUCCAGACAGCACGUGUGUGCCAGAAGGCGAAAAAAGUUGCAAAUUGGAUUAAUUUCUUUGUUACUCGGCAUUUCGGAGAGUUCAUCAGCUGGCAUAUCUUUGCCGUUUGCACGGAAAAAAAAAUUCUUCAAGCUAAGCUACUGACACGUGGAAAAGAACCUCCACAUUUAAGUCCCCAACGCAUAAUCCACAUCCCAACCAGAAACGUGUCGAAAAAUAAUUCGCUCUUAAGGCUGCGAUUUGCUCGGCGAGGAUGGGCCUUUACAAGGUGGUAUAUCCAGAGGCAUAUCUUAUACCCCCAAUGAUCUGGGAAUUGGCCAAGCAGUGCUCCGCGGCCGAGAGUACCGAAAAAAACAAAAAGAUAUAUCGAUCCAACGGUCGGAUUAGAAAUCCGGCGUAACAAUCACGUGACUGGCUGUGUUUAAAAGAUCACGACCGCUGGAAAGGAAGGGAACGGCCUCGGAGGGAUGGAGUCGUCGAGAGUCUCGACGGUCGGCGGUGGGUAUCAUGUGCCGCCGGCUUGACGUAGGGGGGAAGCGGAGACGUAUCUUCCGAUCGAGGAGAAGAACCACAAGUCGGUCGGUUAUUUUUAGUUUUGGCGCCACGCCUCUCUCUCUCUCUCUCUCUCUCUCUCUCNNNNNNNNNNNNNNNNNNNNCCACGCCUCUCUCUCUCUCUCUCUCUCUCUCUCUCUCUCGGGGAUUUAUAAGGAGAGUCGGAGGAUCAGGGCGAACGAGAUUAGAUCGGAAUUGAAGAUAUAGGUUAGGGUUGUGCAAGAUCCCGUCGAGUGAUGCGUGGAUUUUGUUGAUUUGGUACCGUUAUUUGGGGAUUCGGAGAUAAGGAGGUGAUUAGAAGGGGGAUUUGAAAAGGAAUCAGAGUAGAAGGGGAGAAUUUGGAGAUAUCCAAGGUAUUUAGUCCUGGGUGCUGUAGAUCUUGGAGGGGUAUCGUAGUUUUCUGAAAUUUUGGGAGUUGAGAUUUUCUAGCUGAAACUAUUGGAAGAUUCUGGAAUAAGUGAGCUAAUCUGUUGAAUCUCCCUGGAACGAGGGGAAUUGUAGGACAUCAGUAGGAGAAGUUGGGCGUCCACGAGUGCAGAUCACACAAGUUAUUGUUUAUAUUCCAAAUUUUAGGUACACACAGUUCCUGAUUCUGAAGAUUGUUCUGUCUCCACACGUUAUUUGUUUUCUGAUGAUUUCAUUUCAUUUCAAUUUAUUUUUUCGGGUUUUUAGCAUAAUUAUUAGAAACAAAUCGGAAUCUCUUGCAGUUUCCCUUUUCUAAUUGCUAGCAGUUUGUUUGAACUGCUGUGAUUCGAAAGAGUUCACUGGGCUCCUUCACGCAGUGACUUGGAGUGACGUGACUCUGGGACUGCAGUAUUAUGAAUUGGGGGCGGGGGUUGGAUGGAACAUUAGCAGAAUUAAUGAGAUUGUUAUGCAGUGUGAAUCUAUACAUGAUGUCCAUUUUUUAGACUUAGCAGCAACACUACAAUGGGUGAAAUCUUCAAUUGGUUGUGCUCCAUCGCAUUUUGCAGGGAAAAUGGCUAUAUUGGUUGAUCCUCCAAAUGGCAUGGGAAACAGCGGGAAGCACUACUAUUCCAUGUGGCAAACCUUGUUUGAGAUCGAUACGAAGUAUGUGCCUAUCAAGCCCAUCGGAAGAGGAGCUUAUGGCAUUGUAUGCUCAUCCAUAAAUCGAGAGACAAAUGAAAGAGUUGCAAUAAAGAAGAUCAACAAUGCCUUUGAUAAUCGUGUGGAUGCACUUAGAACGUUGCGUGAACUGAAGCUUCUUCGGCAUCUACGUGAUGAAAAUGUCAUUGCUUUGAAGGACAUCAUGAUGCCAGCCAAUAGGAAAAGCUUCAAGGAUGUAUACCUAGUUUAUGAACUCAUGGAUACUGAUCUGCAUCAGAUUAUCAAGUCAUCACAGGCACUUUCUAACGACCAUUGCCAAUAUUUUCUCUUUCAGGUAUGAAUCCUCUAAAUAGACCUUCUAGAAAUUCAUAUUUUCAAAUAAUUAUUCCUUCUUAAGAUCAUGACGUUCGAAAGCACUUGCCAAGGAAGAGAGAAAUUAUCUGUAAAUGUCCAUGUGGUUAAAACUCUGUAGUUGCUGAGACUAACUGCAAAGUGGUGGUUGAUAGGAAGAAUAAAAAAAAUACUUUAGUAUAAGGAUAUGCUAAAAGUUUUAGGUCAUUCAGGCACUGUUUUUGAUGCUUCCUAUCACUUUUGUUUCCAUAUCAAGGGAACGAGAUGAGAAAUCUUAUAACCAGCUUCGUUUCAUGCAACUGGUGUACCUAUUACUCAUAGUAAGAAGACAAUCUGACUUGUGAGGCUACUUGUUGGAUAAUACUCAAUUUUAACGGUGAGAAGACUAUCUGAUUUGGGAGGCUAUUUGUAGGUUCAGAGCAACUAAAAGGAAAGGAGAAGAUAAGAGCACAAAAUGAGAAAAAAGCGGAAAUUCUCUAUCUAAAUAUCUGUAUUGUUCAAUUUAUUAUUUAAUGACUUUAUAUCCAUAGUGAAAUGUUAUCACAAUAAUAUUGCAUUGGCAUGGAUUCAGGAUUCUGCACUGGACAUAUGUUCUGGUGUACUAUUCAACAAUGUGGAUAAGAUUUUGGAACGCAUUCAAACUCUGAUUUUCAAUAUGAUGUAGUUUAAUUUAUGUGAUAAAUUCUAUAAAGGGUCAGUCAAUUGUAUGUUUUGUGCUAACUUAUAAGUAUAUUGUAUGUCGCAUAAUAAGAUUUAAUGAUUUAUCAUUGGUCAUGUGCAAAUAGUUGUGGAAGAAUUAUUAGUUUGAUCGCAGUUCAUCAAAUUGUUACUAUUAUUACAUUGGUAUGAAGUGCAAUUAUUAGCUGGGCCUCAAUUAACAAGUUGUAGAUCCAUUACUUAUGGCACAAGAUAUAUUUUUGGUAUUCUUUAGCCUUUGAACUGAUCAAUGGUGAACUAUGGCUAUUUAGUGUCAUUGGUGGGCUGCUGAGUGAUGUUAUUAAAAUAAUAAAUUGUGGUUGGACCUGUUCCCACUGGCCAAAAACAUGAUUCUUCUUUUCCCUUUUUCCUAUUAUCUUCCAUCUUCCUUCUUGCUUGAUUGCUCUUAGUUUCCUUAAUAUUACUGAUACUUCUUUUAUCUUUGCUUGUUUUCAUUUUAGAUCUAUUUUAAUUUCUUCUAAGGGAGUUAUUGUCAGUUUUGUGUAGAAUAUGUUUAGCUGUUUUAACCUUUAAGGCUUUAUAACGUUCCAGUCCACAAUAACCAUAUCAAAGUGGUUCUAGUCAAGGUUCUAAAGGUAUGGCUUGUACUGGUCACUGGCAGGCACAUUACAUACCACAUUACGUACAAUAUUUAGAUAUUAUACUGUCAGGCAUGGCUAUGAGUAGAAAUAAAGGUGAGAAAAAAAGGUGUAAGAACGCCAUUAAAAUAUGUACCCAGUGGUACAGCAUUGAUCCAAGACUGGCUUGUCCAUGAAUGACUCAUGAAGAAGUGCUGGUUACCUAUCCCUUUCUAGAACAUGCUGUUGUGCUCAGUUUUUAAAUCCUUGGCUAUAGUCUUUAUGACAUCUACAUAUCUCCAAGUUCCCUGUAAUCAUCUCAUAUUUGCCUUUCCACAAAACGCUGGUGUUGAACCAACCCAAAAUUAUUCCUUAUUAUUAAUUUUGAAUAAACACAUAUGUGGUCUACAUGAUAAAUUUUCUUGCGUAAGAAUUUUCUCUUCAAUUUCCAUGCACGAAGGCUGCUGUGAAGAGAAGGAUAUGUUAUGCAGUCCCAAGAAGGUUCAUAUAUGUUGGGCUACCUGAUUUGUUUAAUUUGUGCGACCAACCAUGAUAAGAGAGCAAGCUAUCAGUAUAUUGAAUGUCUGUGUGUUUACUUGUUCUCUUUUCCUUCUUUUCAUUUCUUCUUUUUUUUGGGAAUAUGAAUUAAGAAUCAUUUGUUUAAUCUAAAAAUUGUCUAUUUACAUUGAUGAAAUGUAGCACUCAUGUUCCAGUAAUCCAGUAGGUGUUCCAUGAGGAGAAUUAUUUUUUGUUCCCCUAAAAUUCAUGUUGUAAUAGGAGAGUGGUAUAUGCCCGGAUCAAGACCUAGUAGUUAAAUAGCAUGGAGCCAUUAAGCAACUUCAGUAUGAUGUUUAUGAAGUCAAUCAAGGAAAUUUCGGAAGCCUUGACAAGGAUGUGCUCAGCAAGGUUUCUGGUGCUGGUCCAUGUCAGUCCGUGCUGGCUGGCACUUUCUAUCCCGACCAGUACGGACACUCACAGUGUAGGUCAGCAUGAUACCUAUUAUUUUAUUUCUUAAAAUAUUAUAAAAAAGGUUUAAAAAUUUUCUUUUAAUUUUGGCAUGGUGUAACUGGUGCCCCAUGAUACAAAACACUAUCUUUGUAAUUUUUACUCCUGAAGUGGGCAACAGGUUAAUGAAUCUCGUUGGAAAUUAAUAUCUCUAUCUCUUUUUACAAAUUUUCUGAUCUCUCUCGAUCCUCUCUUUUAUAAGGGUAUAUACGUAAAUAUUAAUUUUGGAAGGCUAUUCAUAUAAAUUUUAAUAUUUAGGAGGAUAUAUACGCAAAAAAAAUCUCCAAAAAAAAAAUCACGCGUCUCUGCUUCAAUUCUCCUGUAGUGGCCUUUCAGUUUGUUGUUUUCUUGCACUAUUUAUUGCUUGUAUUUCACAAUUUGACUGAGCAUUAAAGCUUUUUUUUCGGUGGUGGGUUUAGAGGGGGGGGGACCCAAUCAAAUUCAUUGAGAAAAUGAAUCAAGUACAUGUACAGUGAAUCCUCUGGAUCCAAGUGAAUAAAGGACAAGUAGGAGUAAGGGGGGAUGGUUGGGGGGUUGGGGGGGGGGGAUAAAGGCCGUAACGGGGGUUGCUCUCAACAGAUAAGUAGUUUUAUGUUUGCAUGCUGGAUAAACCAACAUCCAUUCUUGAGGCAUGCGACCACAAUGCCUUCCUAACAUCUUCCACCUGUUGCUCUCCGAUCUGGCCAUUACAAAAUGAUAGGUAGAGCUCUGUUUCUGAUUCCCCAACCUCUAAAAAGGUUCUUUCAAAGUUGUCUCGAGAAUUGACAUUUAAAGAAGAGCUCUUCUGUAGUUUCCUCCUGAUUUCCGCAUAGAACACAGCAGGAGUCUAAUGUUUCUUCUAAUUAGAUUGUCCUUCGCGAUAAAUUUUAAGUUGAUCUAGACAAGUUAGAGUGUGAGAAUUUUGCUGAUGUUGUAAUUUUUUUUUUUUUGAUGCAGUAAUGACAGCAGCAUUUGUUUCUUCUAUGCCUUCAUCAGCUUGCCAUCUUCAUUCAGAAAUUUGUUAGCCAUUAAUAUGGUUACAGAAGUACAAGUUUAGAAAGUGAAUUUUAAUUUUUUGCUUGCUAAUCAUCUCAGGAAGCUCUUUGAGAAGCUUUUGCCCUUUAUUCAUAUGCUUGUUGUUUAUUAAUGACUUAUAAUCCCUUUUGCAAUUUUUAGUUGCUUCGAGGACUGAAGUAUCUUCACUCAGCAAACAUACUCCACAGAGACUUGAAGCCUGGGAACCUACUGGUGAAUGCAAAUUGUGAGCUCAAGAUUUGUGAUUUUGGUUUGGCUCGCACCAGUAAUGGGAAGAACCAAUUCAUGACUGAAUAUGUUGUCACCCGCUGGUAUCGGGCCCCUGAACUGCUCCUUUGCUGUGAUAACUAUGGCACCUCCAUAGAUGUAUGGUCUGUGGGUUGCAUCUUUGCUGAGCUUCUUGGUCGUAAGCCCAUCUUCCCAGGCACCGAGUGCCUCAACCAGCUCAAGCUCAUCAUUAACGUUCUUGGCACCAUGAAUGAUACCGAUAUUGGCUUUAUUGAUAACCCAAAGGCACGCAAAUACAUCAAGACCCUGCCGUACACCCCUGGUAUUCCUCUCGCUAAUCUUUACCCCCAUGCCAAUCCAUUGGCCAUUGACUUGCUGCAGAAGAUGCU
rnacentral:lncRNA from 1 species